rnacentral:rRNA from 1 species
AUUGAACGCUGGCGGCAGGCCUAACACAUGCAAGUCGAACGAGUGGCGGACGGGUGAGUAAUGUCUGGGAAACUGCGUGAUGGAGGGGGAUAACUACUGGGAACGGUAGCUAAUCCCGCAUACCAUCAGAUGUGCCCAGGUGGGAUUAGCUUGGUGGUGGGGUAACGGCUCACAAAGGCGACGAUCCCUAGCUGGUCUGCGAGGAUGACCAGCGACACUGGAACUGAGACACGGUCCAGACUCCUACGGGAGGCAGCAGUGGGGAAUAUUGCACAAUGGGCGAAAGCCUGAUGCAGCCAUGCCGCGUGUAUGAAGAAGGACUUCGGGUUGUAAAGGACUUUCAGCGGGGAGGCGUUACCCGCAGAAGAAGCACCGGCUAACUCCGUGCCAGCAGCCGCGGUAAUUC